CUAGCGGCGUAGAUAAGGCAUGCAAGUCGAACGCUCCGAUUUAUCGGAGAGUGGCGAACGGGUUAGUAACACGUAGAUACGUACCUCGAAGUCUCGCAUAACCUAUCGAAAGAUAGGCUAAUUCGAGAUAGUCCCGCAAGGGUAAAGAUUUAUCGCUUCGAGAACGGUCUGCGGUCUAUCAGCUUGUUGGUAAGGUAAAGGCUUACCAAGGCUAUGACGGAUAGGGGACAGGAGAGUGUGAUCCCCAACAAGGGCACUGCGACACGGGCCCUACUCC
rnacentral:rRNA from 1 species